GACGAACGCUGGCGGCGUGCUUAACACAUGCAAGUCGAACGGAAAGGCCCUGCUUUUGUGGGGUGCUCGAGUGGCGAACGGGUGAGUAACACGUGAGUAACCUGCCCUUGACUUUGGGAUAACUUCAGGAAACUGGGGCUAAUACCGGAUAGGAGCUCCUGCUGCAUGGUGGGGGUUGGAAAGUUUCGGCGGUUGGGGAUGGACUCGCGGCUUAUCAGCUUGUUGGUGGGGUAGUGGCUUACCAAGGCUUUGACGGGUAGCCGGCCUGAGAGGGUGACCGGCCACAUUGGGACUGAGAGACGGCCCAGACUCCUACGGGAGGCAGCAGUGGGGAAUAUUGCACAAUGGGCGGAAGCCUGAUGCAGCAACGCCGCGUGCGGGAUGACGGCCUUCGGGUUGUAAACCGCUUUCUCCUGUGACGAAGCGUGAGUGACGGUAAUGGGUAAAGAAGCACCGGCUAACUACGU
rnacentral:rRNA from 1 species